GGAGAGAUGGCAGAGUGGUUGAAUGCGGCGGUCUUGAAAACCGUUGAGGAGGGAACUCUUCCCAGGGUUCGAAUCCCUGUCUCUCCGUCA
rnacentral:tRNA from 1 species